rnacentral:misc_RNA from 1 species
GAUGAAGAACGCAGUGAAAUGCGAUAACUAAUGUGAAUUGCAGAAUUCCGUGAAUCAUCGAGUCUUUGAACGCACAUUGCGCCCCCUGGUAUUCCGGGGGGCAUGCCUGUCCGAGCGUCAUUGCUGCCCAUCAAGCACGGCUUGUGUGUUGGGUCCUCGUCCCCCCCGGGGGACGUGCCCGAAAGGCAGCGGCGGCACCGCGUCCGGUCCUCGAGCGUAUGGGGCUUUGUCACCCGCUCUGCAGGCCCGGCCGGCGCUGGCCGACGCGAAAGCAACCAUUUUUUCUCCAGGUUGACCUCGGAUCAGGUAGGGAUACCCGCUGAACUUAAGCAUAUCAAUAAGCGGAGGA